rnacentral:tRNA from 1 species
GCCGAAAUAGCUCAGUUGGGAGAGCGUUAGACUGUAGGUCUAAAGGUCCCUGGUUCGAUCCCGGGUUUCGGCA